GUAAAAGCGAUGAUCGGGAGCAAGUAGGUGCGGCGCGCCCCUUUCAGAGAGUUUCCGGCCGGUGCGAGGAAACGGGGGAACCGCGCGGAAUUCGUCCCGUACGCUGCGCGCUGAAUGCCUUUGGGCAAGUAGGCUGCCGCCGGUCUCCGUCCGUUAUCGCGGCAGGGCAGUUCUGCCCGCUGAGGUUGCCGCCGCAAGACGGCGACAAACCGAGGUGGUACCACGGGUAUCUGGCGCCCGUCCUCUGA
rnacentral:ncRNA from 1 species